rnacentral:rRNA from 1 species
UGGGGAAUAUUGGACAAUGGGCGAAAGCCUGAUCCAGCCAUGCCGCGUGGGUGAUGAAGGCCUUCGGGUUGUAAAGCCCUGUCGGGAGGGAAGAAGGUAGUUUACUACUUGACGGUACCUCGCAAGAAAGCACCGGCUAACUCCGUGCCAGCAGCCGCGGUAAUACGGAGGGUGCAAGCGUUGUUCGGAAUUACUGGGCGUAAAGCGCACGCAGGCGGCUCGUUAAGUCGGAUGUGAAAGCCCUUGGCUCAACCAAGGAAUUGCGUUCGAAACUGGCGAGCUUGAGUACGGGAGAGGGAGGUGGAAUUCCUGGUGUAGAGGUGAAAUUCGUUGAUAUCAGGAGGAACACCGGCGGCGAAGGCGGCCUCCUGGCCCGUUACUGACGCUCAUGUGCGAAAGCGUGGGGAGCAAACAGG